UGAUACCAGGGUCAAAAGGUCAGAAGUUCGACGCAAGCUUGCUUGCAGGAGAAUUUUUGACCUUGGGACCCGCCAAAAACAUGAAUAAGUAGCCAUUUUUCGCAGAAAAAUGAGCGAAUUAUGAAUGUUUUUGAUGAUUGCGGGAGUACGAAGUACGGAGCAAUCCGGUAUCA
rnacentral:sRNA from 1 species